rfam:Picea glauca, whole genome shotgun sequence.
UACUUGGUUGAUCCUGCUGGUAUUCAUAUGCUUGUCUCAAAGAUUAAUCCAUGCAUGUCUAAGUAUGAACUAAUUCAUAGUAAGAAACUACGGAUGGCUCAUUAAAUCAGUUAUAGUUUCUUUGAUGGUACCCUACUACUCAAAUAACCGUAGUAAUUCUAGAGCUAAUACAUGCACCAAGUCCUGACUCUUUGGAAGGGAUGCAUUUAUUAGAUAAAAGGCCGACGCAGGCUUGCCCACUUCUCUGAUGAAUCAUGAUAACUCGACGGAUCGCACAGCCCUUUUGAUGGCGAUGCUUCAUUCAAAUUUAUGCCCUAUCAACUUUCGAUCGUAGGAUAGAGGCUUACCAUGGUGGUGACGGGUGAUGAAGAAUUAGGGUUCGAUUCCAGAGAGGGAGCCUGAGAAAUGGCUACCACAUCCAAGGAAGGCAGCAGGCACGCAAAUUACCCAAUCCUGACAUGGGGAGGUAGUGACAAUAAAUAAUAACACUGGGCUCAUCGAGUCUGGUAAUUGGAAUGAGUACAAUCUAAAUCCCUUAACGAGGAUCCAUUGGAGGGAAAUUCUAGUGCCAACAGUCAUGGUAAUUCCAGCUCUAAUAGCGUAUAUUUAAGUUGUUGCAGUUAAAAAUCUCAUAGUUAGAUCUUGGGUCGUAAAGGUCGGUCCGCCUACUCAGUGUGCACCUUCCCUUCCGUCCCUUUUUCCGCCAGCGUGCUCCUAGCCUUAAUUGGCUGGGUCGCGGUUUCGAUGUCAUUACUUUGAAAACAUUAGAGUGCUCAAAGCAAGCUUAUGCUCUGAAUACAUUAGCAUGGAAUAACACGAUAGGAGUCUGGUCCUAUUGUGUUGGCCUUCAGGACCGGAGUAAUGAUUAAUAGGGACUAUCGGGGGCAUUCGUAUUUCAUUGUCAGAGGUGAAAUUCUUGGAUUUAUGAAAGACAAACCACUGUGAAAGAAUUUGCCAAGGAUGUUUUCAUUAAUCAAGAACGAAAUUUGGGGGCUUGAAGACAAUCAGAUAUCGUCCUAGUCUCAACCAUAAACGAUGUCGACUGGGGAUUGGCAGAUGUUGCUCUAAGGACUCUGUCAGCACCUUCUGAGAAAUCAGAGUGUUUGGGUUCCAGGGGGAGCAUGGUUGCAAGGCUGAAACUUAAAGGAAUUGAUGGAAGGGCACCACCAGGAGUGGAGCCUGCACCUUAAUUUGACUCAACACGGGGAAAAUUACCAGGUCCAGACAUAGUAAGGAUUGACAAAUUGAGAGCUCUUUCUUGAUUCUAUGGGUGGUGGUGCAUGGUUGUUCUUAGUUGGUGGAGUGAUUUUUCUAGUUAAUUCUGAUAACGAAUGAGACCUCAGCCUGCUAACUAGCUACGCGGAGGUUCCCCUUCGCGGCUAGCUUCUUAGACGGACUAUGGCCGUUUAGGCCAUGGAAGUUUGAGGCAAUAAUAGGUUUGUGAUGCCCUUAGAUGUUCUGGGCCGCACACGUGCUAAAUUGAUGCAAUCAAUGAGUUUUUAUCCCUGGUUCGAGAGGAUCGGGAAAUAUUCUCAAAUUGCAUCAUGAUGGGGAUAGACCAUUGCAAUUAUUGGUCUUCAACGAGGAAUUCCUAGUAAGCGCGUGUCAUCAACUUGUGUUGACUACGUCCCUGCCCUUUGUACACACCUCCCGUCACUCCUACUGAUUGAAUGAUCUAGUUAAGUGUUCAGAUCGUGUCAAUGAGGGUGGUUUGCUGCUGACGAUGUCGUGAGAAGUUCACUGAACCUUAUCAUUUAGAGGAAGGAUAAGUCGUAACAAGGUUUCCAUAGGUGAACCUGUGGUAGGAUCAUUG